UACGUAGGGUGCGAGCGUUAAUCGGAAUUACUGGGCGUAAAGCGUGCGCAGGCGGUUUUGUAAGCCAGAUGUGAAAGCCCCGGGCUUAACCUGGGAAUGGCAUUUGGGACUGCAAGGCUUGAGUGCGGCAGAGGAGACUGGAAUUCCCGGUGUAGCAGUGAAAUGCGUAGAUAUCGAGAGGAACACCUGCGGCGAAGGCGGGUUGCUGGGCUGACACUGACGCUGAUGCGCGAAAGCUAGGGGAGCGAACGGG
rnacentral:rRNA from 1 species